UGCUUUGAGAGGCAGAUGAUGCCUCUGUGUCUGAUUGUGAACUGGACACAGAGGCGUCUUUUGGCUCCUCUGUUACUGUGUUUCAGUGUUGUAACUUUAAAUGAAGCUUCACUUUCCAUGGUAUGUGGCUGAAAAACAUUAUCUUCACAGGAGUUGUCAAUAUUCUAUAAGUCACGUAAUCAUGGCACCACUGCUGUGAUGGUAAUAGUACCAUGAAAGCUUUUGACCCAGUAGCAACAUAGCUGACAUGCAUUUUCUCUAACAGCAUAGCAAAGCAAUUGCAGCCCUGCUGACUCUAGACCUGCUGUGUUGCUGAUUGAAGAGGACUUUUUUCAAUGUUGCAGUGUUUCAAUUUUAUACAAGGCUGUUAUCCCUGCUCUAAACUUUUCCAAAGUGUUACAUUAAAGAUGUGGUUGUGAAACAUUCACUCACAAGUGCUGCAGAGCUAACAUGAGGCAGAGUGGCUGAUGCAGUAUAAUGGUUUUGUAACCAAACUUUAUACAUGGUUAUUAACUUACUCUUUUUAACUCUAAAACACUAAUUCCACCAUCUUUCAUGACCCUGAAGUAAUUAAUCCAUCCUCCACACACAGAACACACUCCUGUUUCUUUCUCUUGUUUCAUUCCUGAAUGGUAGAUGAUUAAAAUACACACAGAAACAAGCUUGUAACCUUAUUGCAGUAUGGUCUGAGCUUGCACACAAAGUGAGAUGCAUGAAGUACAUUUUAGACUCCAUUUAUACAACACUUCUCUUGGAGUUGAUGAUCAUGCAAUCAAAAGGAGGUGGGAAGUGGAACAUCCUGCCUGUUUCUCCAGGCUAUGAAGUAUGAAUCUUCCUCCCUUUGUUUGGGCGGCAGUAGCUCAGGAGGUAGAGUGGUCGUCCAAUAACUGGAAGGUUGGCAGUUUGAUUCCCCCCUAUCCCAAGUCUGUCCGUUGUGUUCUUGGGCAAGACACUUAACCCACCUUGCUCCCAGUGUGUGUCCUCCACUGGUGUAUGAUUGUGAGUGUUGUGUGGUGGUGGUCGGAGAGGCCGUAGGCGCAAAAUGGCAGCCACGUUUCUGUCAGUCUGCCCCAGGGCAGCUGAGACUACUAAGGUAGUUUACCACCACCAAGGUGUGACUGUGUGAGUGAAUGAAUGAUGUAUCCAAUGCAAAACACUUUGAGGGUCUCUGAUAAAACACUAUAUGAAAUCUGAUGCAUUAUUAUUUGUUGUCUACCAAACUUCUUAGUGUCCUCUUCCAUUCAUAAUUAUUCCAGUUUUUUGUAAACAAUGUAAGAGCCGUUGUGUAGUUCUGUGCUUGUGUGGAAUAAAUUCCCAACAAAGUAAUACUGGAUCUUUAUGCAAAAUUUUAUACACAUGUGGAGAGAUGGAGACGAUGGCAAUUUUACUGCAGUGAUGGGAAGAACAGUUCUUUUGACUGUACUGAAUCUUUAGAAUCUGUUCAUUAAAAUGAUUUGUUCACUGAAUUAGUCAGUGCUUUGGAGCCCCAGCCUGCCGGUGCAGUACGCAAGUGAGUGCCACAGCCGCGAGUUAGUUCAUUGAACAAGCCCCAGCUGCUGAAGUCAAAGCAUAUUUCAUUGGGUGACACAUGUCGUUCAUUUGCCAAGUCCUGAAGAAAGAAUCACUCCCCUGCCCUGAAAAAUUCACCUCUCUGUGUGUCACCAUCAGCAGAAACAACAUGGCAGCAAUCAGCACGCCUGCUAAACGAGCGCAAGUCGCCAUUCUUGUAUAUCGCGGAACAGUGGAAGGAUUAAAAAUAAAUGAACAUUGCAGCUGUAGCGGGGAUUCUGCUACUUUUAAUGAUAUCAAACAGCGUAUUUCUUUAAAUCAGCUGAAAUUAAAUCCCUCUUGCAGGAAAGUUUAUUCACAUGUAUCAAUGUAAAGGCACUAUAAUGCUCUGUUUUGUCUUAGCCUCAGUGAAUUAACUGGUGCUCGGCAGUAGGUGAACGACCCCGCAGGUUCGGACACCACAGGGCGAGACAUCUCAAAUCAAAUAAAUAUUAUUGUACAAAAUAUUUCAAAAGCGAAUAUAAACCAACAAAAUCACACACCAAUUAACAAGUAAUAAAAUGUACAAUUUGGGCAAAGGAGGGUGAAACCAGGCUAGGGCUUACCACUGUUUUUUAAAAGUGGCUUUUUUUUGCCACUCUCCCAGUUUUGACUGGUGAAGAACCCGGGCAAUAGUUAGGUUUUUGUACAGUCUCUCCCACCUCGGCCACUGAAGCUUUUAUCUCCUUCAGGGCACUCGCAGGUGUCUUGGUGGCCUCCUUCACCAGUCUCCUUCUUACCUGGCCACUCAGCUUGGGAGGACGGCUACCUCUGGGCAGAUCUACACAGGUGCCGUAUUCCUUUCAUUUCUUUAUGAUGGAUUUAACUGAACUCUGGGGGAUGUUCAGUGAGUUGCUCAUUUUUUUUGCAGCCAUCCCCUGACUUCCACUUAUCAAUAAUCUUCUCUCUGAGUUGCUUUGAGUAUUCUUCUGUCUUGUUGUGCGAUUUUAGCAGGAACACUGAUGAACCAGAUAAUGGCCCUCCCAAACACAGGUAUCUUGAUACAACAGCCACUAACAACACACUUACUGCAUUUGGGUGAUCUCCAUUUCACUUAUUGUGAGACUACCAGCAUUCAUAAGCUGGGCAUCAGCUGAAUAAGGUCCAUCACCUUAAAGAGGGUGAAUAUUUAUGUAAUCAAUUUUUUCUAAAAUUUUCUAAACGUUUCGAUUAAUUGACAUCACUUUAUAAAAAUCAGUUUUUACUUUGACAUGAAAGAGUUGUUUUCUUUUUUUGUUAAUUCUUGAAAAUAAAAUUACAUUGGCCAUGAAUUUAUUUAGAAAAGCAAUAAAGGAGAAAACAUCUAAGGGAGGUGAAUACUUUUUAUAGGCAGUGUAGCAAUGAUGACUAUUUUUAGUGACAAUGGCAUAAACAUCUCAAAACAUGACUUGAUGUCACUGAUGUCACAGCUGCCCUGCCAUGAACAUCAUGAGGUACUGAGCUCCAACAGGUCUUACCAUUUUUGGACUUGACUAUUUCAGCGGGAGCAGCUUCACCACCUGUGACCUCUCCAUCAGACUCAUCAGAGAUGUCUGUUUCUUCUGGAUGAUACUCUACAUUAUCUUCCUCUUCAGACACCUGCUCAUCAAUGUCGCUAUACUGCUCUGUGUCUUAUUCCUCAUUUUCACCAAAAAUAUUAUCCAAAACUUGGCCCACAGUAAAUCUUUAAUCCUCUUCUCAUUUUUGCACAAUCCUAUAUAAUCCUAUUUUUCAAACUGGGUCGACAGCGACCCUAACAAAACAAGUGCCAUAAUUUCAAUUAGAGCAUUUUAUAAUUUAGUCAACUUUUUUUUUUUUUAAUUUUUUUUUUUAAAUGGAGGUUCCUGACAAAGUAAAAAAGUCAAGUUAACACAAACAAUUAGGUGGUUCUUUUAUGCAUUAAAAUAAAAAAUGGGUCGGUGCCGACCCUAAGACAGGAGGAAGAUUAAAGCCUGGCUCUACCAGCACUCCAUCUUGCCCAGUCUUGUGGGGUCACUGGAGAGUUUAAGGUGGCAUGCGCAAGAGAAGCCCUACAGUACAGAGAUUCCAGGGACUGCAAGGUGUGAUCAGGCGGGAUUGAAGUGAGGACAGGAAGGAAGUGAAAGGCAACAAAGGCAGUGGAGGUGGCAGAGUCACGCCUAAGGCAAAGACACUGUUGAGGGUCUUAGCAAUAGGAAGAGCAGGUCUGGGCUCCAUCCCCAAGAGCCAAGUCAGCCAGGCCCGGGGCAAACAGAGACACCACCUACUCUAGAACGAAGUUCGAGCAGGCUUGGAUGAAGUGCUGAGCUGUCCGCCACAGCUCAGCAAACCUCCAUGUGUGGGGGAAGAGUGAGACACCUUCCUAUCCCCUUUGCUCUGUUAGAGUCUCCUCGGAACAUCGUCUCGGCAGCUGCCCAAAGGCCCUGACUGCUAGUCCCUAUCGCUGGCACCAUGACCAGGUAGUAAAAGCAGUUGCUGAGAGCAUAGACUCAGCCAUCAGCACCAGCAAACACCAUCGUGCACCCAAGAAGGCAAUCCCCUUCAUUAAAGGUAGAGAGAGACCCCAGGCAUGCCCACAGACAACAACAACAGUCCUCCUCCAUACAGCCCCUGAUUGGCAGCUGUGAGCUGACCUGGGAAAACAUCUCUCCGGCCAUGAUCAUUAUCUCUGAAGCUUCAAAACGCCUGAUCAUACUGGAACUUACUGUGCCCUGGGAAGAGCGGGUUAAAAAAGCCAACAAAAGGAAACACGUUAAGUACCAGGAACUGGUGGAAGACUGCAGAGGCAGGGGCUGGAGGACAUUCUAUGAACCCACAGAGGUUGGCUGUAGAGGCUUUGCAGGACACUCUCUGGAAAGUGUUGGGCCGUUUGGGCGUCAAAGGGGUGGCCAAGAAGAGGGCCAUCCAAUCAACAAGUGAUGCUGCAGAGGAAGCCACGUGGUGGCUUUGGCUGAAAAGGGCAGAUCCGUGGGUUGCUGGGACACGAGCUGGGACUUAAUCACCCUGGUUGGGUCACCUGGGCAGGGAUGUCUGAUGUUGCGAGACCCAAAACACCCAAUGACCUCAGGAUACAACAUUACUGAAGAUGUGUCCCAGCGCAUCCAGGAGAUGUCUCUUUAAAGCACUUUAAACACAAUUCAAACACAAUUCAAGAUUGAAAUCAAAACAAAUACAAAUAAGAUGAAUGAUGAGAGAAAAUGAGACAAUUACAUAGAGAAAACAGGAUAUGCAGAGGAGCACACCAAUAGUAAUAAAAUGUGUAUAAUUAAAACAGUAAAAAAAGACAUAAAAUUAAGUUAAAACAUAAAAAAAAUCAAAUAUAUAUAGUUUAAAUGAUAAAAAGAUAAUUAGUUACUUUUAAAUAAAAUCACUAAUCCAUCAAUAAAAAGAGUAAUUAAAUGACGAGCUGAGGGAGGAAUUGUUUUAUUAAGUCGCUUGUUAAAGCUUGAAAUAAUGUGGAGUCCAGAUGAGCAAAAACUGGACUGGCUGUUUAAUUGAUUCAAGCUUUUUAAUUUUGUCUCCAAAGUCCGGAUAAGAAGAAAAGACUGCACCUUUGAUUAGUGUAUGUAUCAGUGCUUCAUUUUCUGUCCUAUGAUACUUACCUGUUAUGUGAUCUGACCCUGGAUUGUGCAGUGAAAAAAAUAACUCAUCAGAUUUACUUAAAAAUAAAUUUUAAGUAUUUGCACACAAAUGAUGCAAGUUAAAUUUAAUGCUGCAGUAUCAAGUAAUAUUCACUUGCCAGUAUCAAAGAAAAUUUUACUUUACAUAAAACACAACAGUUAUGAAGAUAUUAAGUAAUAUUUACUUAAUUACAUCCAAGUUUUAAAUUAUAAUUAUUGAAACAAAUUAAGUAAAGUCUACUUGUUUUUUAUAUGCAGAAACCUAAUUUUGCUCAAAAUGUUAAGUACAUUUGAUAUCUCUGUACUAUUUGCUGUCAAAAAGUAAUUAAGUAGAUAUUAUUUAUUUUCUUGUGUUUGACAUUUUAAUUCAAUUGGUUGAUCAGAUUUUAGAUAGCGCUUUACCAGUGCCCCUGAAAGUGCUUUAUAUCGGAUACAUUGUUCAUUUGCUCACACACUAACACCAUGGUGGUGGUAAACUACCUCAGUAGUUACAGCUGCCCUGGGGCAGACUGACGGAGACACGGCUGCCUAUUCGCAGAUAGCCUCUUCGUCCACCACCAAACAUCACUCACAAUCAUACACCAGUGAAGGACACACACUGGGAGCAAAGUGGGUUAAGUGUCUUGACCAAGGACACAACAGACAGACUCAGGAUGGGGGGAAUCGAACUGCCGACCUUCCAGUUAUUGGACCAUCACUCUACCUCCUGAGCUACUGCCACCCCCUACCUUGCUCUGUGAUCCUCUAAUGUCCUGACUCAGAGCAGGGCCAGUCCUGGUGUAGGCUACAGUGCACAUGCGUUGUGCAUGUGUUUCAAAACGCUGACCUUUCCGGAGAAAGUUUAUGUAGUAUUUGUAGGUUUAUGAACAGACAACUAUUAAACAUUUAAAUAGUAUAUGUAAUAUAUGUAAUAGUAUAUAUAAAACUUACUCUUCCCCCGUAAUUCAUGUAUUACGUAAAAAAAAUUAAAAAAGAAUGUUUAACUUAACUUGUUACUCUAAUAGUUUACUGCACCAAAAAGUCACUUUUUCCAGUGUGUGAAUUAAUGGUGUCAUGUUUGUCCUACAUGGGCCUGAACCAUUUGUCACAUAGGUAAGUCUUAAAGCUUGUCAUGUAUGUACUUGAACAUGAAAAGUGUGGAUGGAUAAGCAGUGGAUGAACAACUAAUGACACAGAUUUUUAUCCCUCUGCUUGUUCAUUUCUCUUUCUCUCUGUCUCUCUCUCUCUCUUUCUCUCUCGCUCUCAUCUGUGUCCUUCGUCUCUGCUCAAAAAGAAACACAGACUUAUAAUUUAAUUAUCUAAUCGCCCUCUUUCUCUCUCACACAAAGACGAGCAUGAAUUCCCAGAACUCAGACUCUGACCUCAGCGCU